rnacentral:lncRNA from 1 species
UUUGAUGAACUUAAAACUAAAUAGCAAAAGAAAGCAAUAAUUUAAAGAUGAGUAAAUCAAUAAGAGAAAAGCUUCUAGUUGAAGUAUGGAUCUUUUUCAGAUUGUUUAGAAUUGAUCAUUGAUUCUUUAACACUCCUAUUUAUUCCAAUAAAUUAGUUUUGGAUGUGGAAGACGCUUCUCACAAUCCAAAUUCCUCCUUAGUUCUAGUUUGAUUAGGAAACGUUCGCUAAUCAAACACUAAUCAACAAGUUGCCAAGGAACGUCCUUGGGGCAUUAUAGCAUCGAACAACUGUUGACUGCAUUAAGACUUAGAGAAACCCAAUUCUAUCCUUGCCAACCGCGUGGUCAAGUUUAGAUUAUGCAAUUUGAUUAAAUGUGUGUUUGAACAACCUAAGCAAUUACGGACCUAAAUUAUUCAAACAAUAUUACUUAAGCAAUUUAAAAGCAAUGGGCCCUUAUUGAUCUUAAAAGCAAAGUAAUAAUUAUGGAAAGCUCAAAUUGCAUAAAUAUUGAAAAUAAAUAGAAGUUCAACAAUGGAGAUUUAAAUCUCCCAAUUCAUCACAAAAUCUGAAAUUCACCAACUUCAACUAGAAAAGAAUGGAUUUAGCCACUCAUGGUGGACUAAAUACACAAAAAGAUGAAAAGAAAGAAAAGAAGAGCAGUUGCAGAGUUUCUGGCGAGGGAGACGGUGCUGAGUUCCUGAUCAGAAGGUGCCUUUGCUGGUUUGGAGGCUCUCCUUUUAUAGCUGAAGAAUUCUAUCUAUCUAGGGUUUUGAAAUCCCUUUUUGAUUUGGUGUUUGACUCCUCUUUUGAUGUUGAAUUUAAUUGCAAUUGGAAUUCCUUGGAUGAGAAGCUCUUUCGUGGC